rnacentral:rRNA from 1 species
UUGAAAGGGAAACGAUUGAAGUCAGUCGUACCAGCGGGAAUCAACCUUUCGAGUGGGGUUUUGGAGUUUUGAAGAGUGUCAAAACCUUUGAGAUUUCAAAAUUUUCGCUCCUUUGGUGUACUUUCUCGUGGGUAGGUUAACAUCGAUUUCGAUCAUCAUAAAAGGAUUGGAGGAAUGUAGCUUCGAUCUUGUAUUGAAGUGUUAUAGCCUUUGGUAAAUGUGAUGAUUAGGAUCGAGGAUUGCAACGAAUACCCUUUUGGGCUAUCCGCCUGAUCUCUGAUACGUGGCCUUGGUAUCGAAAGCUUGCUUAUGGUAUCAAGGUAUUACGGUCAAAAGGUUAGAACGGAUUACAUUCGUUAAGGAUGUUGACGUA